CGAUUCCCCACGGGAAGGAGAACCACGCCUGCUCCUGACCCAGCAGCCAUCGCUCAAGCACCGGGAAGAACCCCACUGAGAUCUGUCUUCCGUAUCCUCCAACUUUAACCUUGGCUUUAACGGCAUCCUUCUGAAGAGGAGGGGGCUGGCUGGGUCAAGCCUCCGGGUGGAAACCACGCCCACACCUGUGACCACCAAGAGCAUCUCCAGCUGGGCCGGGCCCCUCAGUGGUCGGCACAGGCCUGCUGACCCUGCUGCCAGUGGAGGCAGCAAACAAAGGCGUUAGGUU
rnacentral:lncRNA from 1 species